GGUGAUGUCAACGCCUGGCUUACUCCUCUUCCUGUUGGGUUGCAAACACGGCCUUCUCUCAUGGUCCUGGAAUGCUGACAUGGUCGGGCAGCCAGAGCCUAACACAGUCUAAGACAGAAGAAAACUGCAGAAGAUUGCUACCCAUUCAAGUAGAAAAACUCAAGCUGGAAAAUUAACAGCACAGCUGGAAAGGCUAAUGAACUUAGCAUUUAAAAAUGCUUGUAGAGCCGCGGGAUCUACCCCUCAAUCCCAGAGAAAGCACCUAAAAAGUAACGGAUGGGUACUUAGUACUCUUAUGCUUUUUUCUUCUUAGUCACACUCAUGGAUAUUGAUAAACUGAUGUGUUCUCAUUGGUAUUAAUAAUGAUACUCAAUCUUUAUCCAAAAUGUACUUCAUACCAGGUACUGUGUAAGUGCUUUAAACAAGUCAUCUCAAUAAAAUAAUAUCAUUAUGUAAGA